UCCGUUAUGGUGUAGUGGCUAACAUUAUCGCCUCUCAUCAUACGUUACGGUGGUUCCGCGAUAGCCCAGGGUUCGAUUCCCUGUAACGGAA